GACGAACGCUGGCGGCGCGCCUAACACAUGCAAGUCGAACGAGCGAGAGAGAGCUUGCUUUCUCAAGCGAGUGGCGAACGGGUGAGUAACGCGUGAGGAACCUGCCUCAAAGAGGGGGACAACAGUUGGAAACGACUGCUAAUACCGCAUAAGCCCACGACCCGGCAUCGGGUAGAGGGAAAAGGAGCAAUCCGCUUUGAGAUGGCCUCGCGUCCGAUUAGCUAGUUGGUGAGGUAACGGCCCACCAAGGCGACGAUCGGUAGCCGGACUGAGAGGUUGAACGGCCACAGUGGGACUGAGACACGGCCCAGACUCCUACGGGAGGCAGCAGUGGGGAAUAUUGCACAAUGGGGGAAACCCUGAUGCAGCGACGCCGCGUGGAGGAAGAAGGUCUUCGGAUUGUAAACUCCUGUUGUGGAGGAAGAUAAUGACGGUACUCAACAAGGAAGUGACGGCUAACUACGUG
rnacentral:rRNA from 1 species